GAUCCUUUGACGAAGCAGAAAUUGCUCCAGAGACUGUUGAAAUCAGGGAUCCUCCAGCUAUGUUAAACCUCUCAAAAUCUCCUCUUUUUGAUGGAUCCUCAGAGCAGACAGGAAUUGCUCCUCAAACACCUCGUCGGCACUCACCUCCCCUUGUUGGGGGAGAACAAACAGAAAUUGCUCCGCAAACACCUGUACCACACUCAAAAUCAGUGAGACGAUUGGAGAGCCCUGAGUACCUCAAAUGUGCUAACUUAUUUGAAGUAGGACAUGCAAAUUUGGAUCCUACUGAAAGUAUCGAGAAAGAAUCUUCUCUUAUUGAAAUUGUAGAAAAAGAGCCUUCCCUGAGCAAAGAUGAAGUUCUUGAUCUCAAUCUGGUGAGCAAGGAGAAAUGAUAUUACUGAUAGCUGCCUUAAUGUGAUAGAGAAUAAUCAUCUGGCAGGGCUGCCUUAUAUAUUGAUGAAAGUUACAAAGCAUAGGAAUUAGUUUACAAACUGAACCACGCAUUGCAUCAACGUAUUUUGCUAUAUUUGACGUGCAACUUCUUUCAAAUUAUAUUUUAAAUCAUCUAAGCAUGAUAAGGUUGAACUUUAAACCCGAACCAAAAUAGUAUUUGAGACGACGAUUGGUGUCUCACAGUGCUGGAUGGUUUAGAAGCUUCUACCUGCUUAUGAAAAUGUAUCAAUUCACAUGUUAGUUGAUUGUUGGCUUCCCUAUUCAAAGCAUCUUAUAUUAGUCAUUUACUUGAUUAAUAUUUUGGUCAGGAGAUACAUUCAGAUGGAGAUGAUAACCAGGAACAGGGUAAGAGCUAUUCGAAUUGUUCUUUAUUUUAAACUUUGAUCUGGUCAGUGGAUUCAUUUUAGAUUGCACAUUGUUGUUACAUGUGGGGUAUUCUUACCUGAAUUUUGUCAUUUGCAGAUGGAUGGUCAAUGAGAACUAGGUAAGAUAAAUACAGCCUUUACCAUACUCUUUUGACUUAAAUGGUUAAAGUCAAUCCCUUAUGCCUGCUUGCAAAACUUCCUUCCAAUUGGUUAAAUCUUUGUUGCACAGAAUGGUGGCAAAGUAUUUGCAGAGAAGUUUUCUAGGUCAAAGGAAAAGAGGAGAGGAGGAAACGUUGAAGUUAUCACAGAUUUUGGAAGGAAGAACAAAGAAAGAAAGCGUGAGGCUCUUUUAUGAGAUACUGGUAUGUUGCAGCCAGUGACUUACCUUGAGAAUCAAUUGUUCACUGUGGUAAUAAUUUCACUCAAGCCCGGUGCACUGACUCAAUUGGUUAAUGCCAUUCAAGUAGGGCUUCUCAACAUGAGGUCUACCCAACUUGGACCAGUCACUGGUUCAAACCAUGUCACACACUAUAAAUUUGUUAUCUUCAAACUUAAGACUUUCUUGAGCACACACGAGCUGUUGUUUUUGACAGCUAAAUUGGAAUAUUUGAUGUGAUAAUUAACAAUGGUAUAAAAAUAUCAAUUUUGCAGGUGUUGAAAACUAAAGGACUUGUGGAUGUGAAGCAAGACACUGCUUUCGAUGACAUUCUUGUCCAGCAAUCUCCUCAGUGGGACCAAACUUGCAGAACUGAUGGGAAGUAGAACUGCUGGAGGAUCUGUUUGUUAUUUGCGAGAAGUAGAAUAAGUCUUUUGAUGAGGAUCUAUUUGUUAAUUGCAAGAAGUAGAAUUAGUCUUUUGAUCCUAACCCAUGUUAAAUGAGUUAUAGCGGUAGUCCCUCUGUAAAUUGAGUAGUUCUGUAAAUGUUAUCAAUUUUAGCUGAUAUAGGAAUCACAAAUGUUCUCAUUAGAAGAGUACAAGGAAAAGAGGAUGUAACUACUUUUUCUUUUUUAGAUAGGGUCUUACUUUGAGAGCUUAUCUUAGUGAUUUGAAUAACUUAAUCAGAAAUCUCUGUGUAGACCAUUGUUUUUGAUGAUUUAAUGUCUUUUUAUUCAACAACAAUGACUUUGACCAUCCUGGAAAGCAUGAGAUGCUGUGAGCAAAGUAUUGGUUACAUUGAAUAAGAAAUGAGCGAAUUGUUUGAUUGAAUGUCGACUAAGAUUCUUGUAAGUAAAUACAUAAAAUAGAAUGACUUUAGAACAAAUAAAAUGUAAUAUCUGAAGGCUUCUUGGACAAUUCAUCUUUGACUUUAUAAGAGUUUGAAUCUCUUGAAGCUUGUGAGUUUCCAUGAUACUUCACAUUCAAUGGAGAUGUCUCUUGCUCUCAGAUGUCUUUGACAUAAAAUACUGCCGGUGUCUUUAUAAUUCAGUAAGGCAAUCAGAUUUUGUUUCAAUUUACAACCAACUUAGAGCUCAUUAUAUCUUGGUAAGACUUUUGCUCUACUCUUUACACAGAAACACAAAAAAGGCAUACUAUUUUCAACAGUUUUUAAUGUUUUGCAAUUUGCAGAAGCUGGAAUGAACCUCUUAGGAGGUUUUUGGAACAGCCCCAUUGGUCCCAAAACAAGUCGCUUUCGGGGCGCUGUCACCAACUGGGGCAUUCCUACUGUUGUAUGCUCACUGAAACCGAAUCCAUGUCCUUGUCUUGUCGUCGAUUUAAGCAUAAUUCAGUGUUUUUUGAUGACAUUUCUAUGAUGGUUUUGUUUGUUUACAGGCCCAUUUAGACACAAAGAAACCACCAGAAACGAUAUCUGGCAACAUGGCUGCAGGUUAAUUUCCUCAUGUUUAAUCUCUAUAGACAUCUUUUUUUAUCAUUUCUUUUAUUCUUCAUGCUAGCAGGGGUUGCAGUUUAGAAAACCUGCUUGGUUUUUUGCAGCUAUGUGCGUUUAUUCUUUGUUAUACAUGAGGUUUGCAUGGAUGGUAUAGCCACGCAACCUCCUCCUUGCAUGUCAUGCCUCGAAUGAAACUGUGCAGCUUUAUCAGCUCUCCCGUUGGAUGAAGUUUCAGGGGUAAGCACUAACAUUUUAAACCGUUUUUUCCAUUUGCUUCUGUUUCUCUUUGCAAAAACUAGUUUAUCCAAGAAACAGGUAGAAAUGUUUCUAAUGAUGGGGGUGGUCUGCAGCAGGUAUUCCCCGAAGAAAAAUGAAGCUGAUCAAACACAAAAUGUCUGAGAUCAUUACUUGCAGCUUGAUCCUUAAUUAACUCUUACGUUAUGGAUAGUUUGCCUGUUGCCAAUCAGUCAUUUGGCAUAUGCUUUACAGUUUGUAUACAAGAAAAGAGCAACAAGGGGUCGUUUGUGUUUGUAGAGAAACAUUGAGAACAUCCAUGAUCACUUUACCAAAGAAUUUAUCAGUUUGUACAAUAGCAUGCUAAUAAUGCUGCGCCUCGCAAUAUUAUUUGGUUGUUAUUUUGAGUAUUUUCAUGUUUGUCUAAAUCUCAUGGUAGGUUUUUUUUUUCUUUAAUGGUUCAUGGCUAGGCUAUAUUAUUAAUUAUUAAGAGAAGAUAUUGUUUCGCUGUCAAACUAAAGGCAUAAUAUCUAAAAAAGCUCUUGAUUUAUAUAUAAAAAUUUAAAUAAGUUUUUAAUUUUUGAUUAUAUCCAAUCAAAUCAAAUAAGUUUUUAUAACUAACGAUUGAUUAACUGCCGUUCAAGUUACCACUUAUUAUUUUAUGUCACAUGAUAUUGAUGUGACAUAUUGAUAUAUUAUAAUAAAUGGUUACAUAACAUAAUGACAUGGUAACGUGAAAUUUUUAUUUUUUACAUUAUGUCACAUCAAAAUUAUGUAAUACUAAAAUAACAAAUGAUAUUUGAACUAAUGAUAAUUAAUUAGUCGUUAGUUAUAAAAGAUCUAUUAAAUUCAAAAUAAAAAAGUUAAUUAAAAAUAAUAAAAAAAAGAACGUGUUUAAGUUUUCUAAAAUAAUUUAGAGAUUUUCUAAAGCAUUAUGCCUAAACUAAACAUCUCAAUUUUUGUUGAAGAUGGAAGUUGAUAUCAAGUAUGGUACAACCACUUCAAAAUUUUCACUACAUACAAAUUAACUGCCAUUUUAACAAGUUUUGUAAAAAGUAUUUAUAUUGAAAAAUAAUAUUAAAUUAUGAAAUUUAACAUGUUUAAUUUAAAAUAUGUUAAUCAUUAAUUUUAAUUUGAACAAACUUUUAUAUAAAUCUGCAAAUACUUUAAAUUCAAUAGAAAAGACAAGAUUUACAAUUAAAAUGUCUUUUUCUUUGACUUGGGAAGAUAACCAUUACAAUAAGGGCCUAUAUAUAUAUAUAUAUAAAAGAAAAAAUCUAUUUCUAACCUCAAAAAGAAAGAAUUUCCAAUCAAAAUCUUCUGGAAAUUGAACACUUUUUUUAUUUGUUAGGCUAUUACGUUUAUUUAGAAUUGGGCUGAGUGCUAGCACAAGUCUAACCCAAUAGCCCAAUUUAAUAACCGAGUGCAUAUGCAGUUGAUCCUUCUAUGAUAACCCUAGAUAAGGAUUACUGAUUGGAGUGCAAUAUAAUUACUGCUCCAUAACAAAACUUUCUCCAGGAAAAGAAAAUGUUUCUUUGAUGGCAUGAUAGUUUUUCCAAAUGAGUAAGCUAUGGUUACCUCAUUUUUUAUCCCUUUGUGUAUUCAUUUUAGGUAAUUUUAGAUUGUUAAUCAAUUUUUAACUCUAGGCCAGACAUUGUUGUGUAGCUUUAUAUAUGGUCCUGACUGCUGACCUUGAUUAUCACAUAUGACAACAGUCAUUUUAUUUGUUGCAUUAUGAAAUACAUGAAUUGGAUUUUAUGAUGCAGUUGGAAAUACGAUGUGUUCUUAGACUUGCGCUGAGUACUAAAUUGGGUAAUAUUAGGUUUGAUCUUUAAUCAGCAGAUGCUGUAAUUGGUGUUGCUUGCUCAUAUGAGAUGCGCAUCUACUGCUGCAACAUGAUUAAGGUCAUAUAGGAAUUCUAUGGUAAACCUCAGUUUACUAUAGAGCUCAUUUUGUAGUUUAACAGCAUUUCACUUGGCUUCUCAUGCAGUCUACUAUAAGUUGAUCCAGCUAUUGCUUAGGAUAAUUUAAUUUCAAUUUGCAUGUUCUAUUUUUGGAUUGCAACAUGCCCAGCACUAGCUGUCUUCUCGUAAUUGAUUAAAUAGCUGCGGCACCUUUCUAUGGGAAAUGAUGCAGUAUAACUUUUUACUUAGGAUAUUGGUUCUUGGUAAAAAAUGCAAGGAGUACAAAUAACUGAAGUCGACAGCUAAUAACUUCAUAAUUCAUUAAAUUUCAUGUGCAAUAUUUUCAGCUUAAUGAGGCAGUGGAUAAAAGAUGCAAGUGAUUUGGUGUCUAAGCGGAGAAAACGUACUGCUCUAGAUGCAAGGAAGAUUCAUCGGGUUUUCAAUCUUUCCCAGAGUUUCUCAGAGGCUUCGGUUCCUUGUAAUUCCACUAUCAUAGUUCUACAUGGUCUUUUUCUACUUAUGCCCUCAUCGCUAAUCAUAUUGUUGGCAGGCACCUCGGAGCUUAAAUAUCUCUACCAUGGAAAGAGUUUGAGACUUCUUGAAUCUGUUAAAAUCAUGAAAUCUCCAGAAAAAAUAGAUGUGCCAGAAGCUCCUCCGAUUGGUGGAUCCUUUGACCAAGCAGAAUUGCUCCAGAGACUGUUGAAAUCAGGGAUCCUCCAGCUAUGUUAAACCUCUCAAAAUCUCCUCUUUUUGAUGGAUCCUCAGAGCAGACAGGAAUUGCUCCUCAAACACCUCGUCGGCACUCACCUCCCCUUGUUGGGGGAGAACAAACAGAAAUUGCUCCACAAACACCUGUACCACACUCAAAAUCAGUGAGACGAUUGGAGAGCCCUGAGUACCUCAAAU
rnacentral:lncRNA from 1 species